GGACAGAUGAAUGAAUUUUUUUGCCUUAAACAUUUCUUGGUGCAUGGGGUGCAGGCAGGCCAUAACCCCGAACAAGCCAUCUGUCCCUGGCGGAAACAGGACUGGGCUGCUGCGACCCCCGAGAUGGUCUCCCUGCGACCACCCAGAACACACCGAGCCUGCACUGAACGAGACCGCAAUCGGGCAGAGACUUUGGGAUCUGGACUGUAAAUUAUUGUCCGUUUUUAGCACAACUUCUAUAAAACUUGCUUGGCAUGAGUGGCUAAAUUUGCUGAAGCCUUAGGCCGCACUCCCUAGUACAGUGAGAAAGGGCCCAGAGCUGCUGCAGGCGGGAAUGAUAAGGGCGUUACCAGCAAUUUGCAUUCCUGUGCACUGCUGAAACGGUGCUAAUUGCUGGAGUUACCACCUCUUUGUCAAGACCUUGAGAGGUGAUGGUGGGACCCGAGGAAGGAAGACACACCUAUAGGAAGGAAGACACACCUGUCUGCAGAAACUGCAACAGAAAAGAUAAGGGAGAAAAGAAACAGCCUGCCUAGGAACAACGAUGAGAUCCAAUAAGGAGCAGGAGACCCCAGACUCAAAAAUUACUAUUGGUCUGAACUACCACGUGGGGGGGUGGGAAACUUAAUUUGAAAAAGCUAUAAUUGCCCAGGGAUCUCUUUGUUCAGGGUCCCUCUUUGGAGGUACCCAACUCGAGCUGUAACCACUGCACGCGUGUCAUUCCGAGCUAACCUAGGGUCGGACCCAACUCGAGUUGUAAUUACUGCACGCGCACCACCAAAACUUACACCCAGGGUGAAGAGGAGCCACCUACCACCAGACGGGAGCCCCCCCCCCCACUGCCGAGACUCCCAAAGGAAGAGGACCAACAGGACGCCGCUGGAUCCACGGGACCAAGAGAAGAAAAGGAAGAGGGCACUAGGGAAGAAGACUUGUCUUAUGUUGAGCCUGAGUGUCCUCGACGGGUACUACCUGUGGUAGUUAUAAUAGUUAUUUUUAUCUUUUUUUUUUUUGUAAUUGUGUGCUGCGAUCAUAAUUAGCUUUGUUGUUGAAAACACAACAGCCAAGAAUGGCAUUCUUGACCUAUGUUGGAAAGAUAUUUCUUAUCUUAAUAUGCUUAUAUGUGCUAUGGCAAACCUACCACCAGAAUCAGGAUUACACCCAAGGUAAAAAUAAGCGAACUUUAUCAAUCCAAGCCACCCAUGGUUUGGAGGAUAACUUAAUCCUAGCCUUGGUAAAGGGGUUUGCAACUUCCCUAAAUGAAUCUAGUAUUACUGCCUGCUUGCCUAUGCCUAAAUCUGUAGAAGACCCCCUUCCCAUGGGUAUUCUUCCCACAGACAUAGCAGGCAGUCUGCUGAGACUGUGGAAUACCCGGGGUAUCCUUGAAAUAGUGAAUCCUUAUUCCCCAGAUAGAAGGCGAGUUUCCGUGAAAUUUGAUCAACCGUUUAAUUUUUCCACCAUCAAUCGCACAAACUGUACAUAUUACGAAAGAGGUUUAAACGUAACUUUCACCUGCAAUAUGAUCCCGUGGGGAACUACAGAUUUACAACCUUGGGGGCGAGCAACUAAUGUCCUACAGUAUAAUCAACCAAUAAAUACAACCUGGUGCAUUCAAUGGAACAGAGGGCAAGAUUGUCCCAAGAGGGAAAAGCCCAAGAGUAAUUGUGCCUGGUUUGGAUUAGACUAUCGGGGUUUCACGCCAUUCGAACCAGGACUCUCUUUUGCCCCAGUAUCAAACAAGUCAGCGUUGUGGUCUUGCCAAAAUGUAAUAAAUUGCUCUAACUGGAAACAAUAUGAUUGGGUUGAAUACUAUUGGCCAGUUUAUAUCACCUUAAAAAUGGGCUGUUUGUGCCGAAAUCACAGCAUAGCAUACAAAUCAGUGAGUGAAAAUUUUGCACCUCCUAAUGACUGUCAUGUUGCCUCUGGUGACGCUCCGGCUGGUUUGAUCUGGGCCUGCAGUGAUGGUAAUAUGUAUACUUCUUUAUGGGCUGGGCUACCUGACCUCCAAUGUACCUUGGGACUCCCAACAUUAUGUCCUGUGUGGAAACGGACUCCUAUCCGACCCCACUGGAUAUCCCGCAUGAAACGGGCAAAAAUAACACUGGACGGAGAUGUAGAAGGGUGGCAAGACCCAGGGGUAGCCACCCGCAUAGCCUGGGGAAUGGAAGGAUUCUGGGGCUUUGGGUCUGCUACCACGCGAACGCGAAUAUGGUUAAGUAAGUUAGCUUAUCAAGUAGGAAAACUAGCUAAUGCUACUGAAGCUAGUAUACAGUUGCUUAAUCAGCAACUGCAAGCCACAUCAAAAAUGGCUCUUCAAAACCGCAUGGCACUAGACUUGAUGAUGGUACAUCAAAAUGGGCUUUGUGGUUACUUAAACCUCUCCAGUACUGAUUGCUGUAUCUAUAUCCCUAAUGUUACACUGGACCUUAAUGACCAACUAGAAAGGAUACGACAAGUGGCAAAAGACACCCGUGAGCUCCAAGAAUCAAUGAAUUCUAAUUGGCUUUCAAAAAUAUUUAGUUGGUUUGGACUCAGUGUCGCUGGUUGGAUUCAAAGUUUGAUACAAUAUGUGAUAAUGUUUAUUGCAGUUGUGAUUAUCGUAAGCAUAGCAAUAUCCUGUGUAAAAUCAACUAUAAUAAAAACUGUUAACAUACGAAUGGUCCAA